CGGGUGGUGAUGACCCCAACAUUCCAUCUGAAUGCCUGUGCUGAAACCCAGAGGCUGUUUCUGAACCA
ensembl:snoRNA